CCUACGGGGGGCAGCAGUCGAGAAUCAUUCACAAUGGGGGAAACCCUGAUGGUGCGACGCCGCGUGGGGGAAUGAAGGUCUUCGGAUUGUAAACCCCUGUCAUGUGGGAGCAAAUUAAAAAGAUAGUACCACAAGAGUAAGCGACGGCUAACUCUGUGCCAGCAGCCGCGGUAAUACAGAGGUCUCAAGCGUUGUUCGGAAUCACUGGGCGUAACGCGUGCGUAGGCUGUUUCGUAAGUCGUGUGUGAAAGGCGCGGGCUCAACCCGCGGACGGCACAUGAUACUGCGAGACUAGAGUAAUGGAGGGGGAACCGGAAUUCUCGGUGUAGCAGUGAAAUGCGUAGAUAUCGAGAGGAACACUCGUGGCGAAGGCGGGUUCCUGGACAUUAACUGACGCUGAGGCACGAAGGCCAGGGGAGCGAAAGGGAUUAGAUACCCUUGUAGUC
rnacentral:rRNA from 1 species